rnacentral:lncRNA from 1 species
GUGGCGGUGCUUCUCUGUUGCAUGGCGAGGGACUGGGGUGCAAGGCGUGCAUCUGCAGUGCCACUCCUGGGGCAUGCCUCUCCCGCGACAUUGCCGGCAUACACAACAUACCUUACUACACGGGGAUUUCCUCUCUGAACUAAAUAUUAUGUCAGAACUGAAUAUUACGUCCGAAGACUGAAACAUCCAGAAAGCUUAUUGAGACUAUUCAUUGAUGGUGUUUCUCUACUACACGAGGAAGGUAAUUGUCGUUUAUGUGCUUCUUUUCCUAUUUCAAUGCACCAUUGUGUUAUUUUGGUUGAAAAAUUAAAGUUUCUACAUAUUUUCAUGGUUUAUGAAAAGUAGCUGAGAUCCGUUGUUUUAUUCCUACAUAUUGAGGAAAUUCUGGUGAAGCUAAAGUUGGUGUUGUUUCUCUUUUUUUUCCUGCGAUUUAGUACUGUUGACUUAGUUGCUAAAAUUUAUCAUUUCAAAAGAUCAGUGUAGUGGUGCAGGCUAACAAAAUCGUAUUGUCUACAAGCGUGAGGUACACAAACAUAACAAGUGAUGAAAGAAGAACAUAUUUGUAACUUGUUGCCCGCUGACUAUAAACAGAAGAACAUUGAAACACUCGUUAUUGCAUUAUAUAUUUUAGUUGCAGUAGUAUUUGAUUUUGCAUGAAGAAAUAUGUUGAGUGUUUCUUCGUUCAGUUUCAUGUGCCAAUUAGGCAUGGACGACGCCGGCCAUGAUCC